CGCGCUCAGGGUCUAGUUAACAUUAUAGCCAAAAAUUAAAAUGUGAAUUCUUCGACCAAGUAUUAUAAAUACAUAUAACAAAGAGGAGCAUAUGGCUAAUUAUAGAUCUCAUAAGGUCCAAAACUGAACCAACAUAUAUAUAUAUAUAAAAUAUAAGCAUCAUUCUCUUUUUAUCACUGUUGGGGCAGAACCACCGGUCUCCGGCGGCGGCUGAUGAGCUGACAUCUGCCCACCGUGAAGAAACUCACGUGCAAUAGCUUGGAACUCGCCGCCUCCUCCGAUACUGGACGAUUGCGAGACACCGAAGAGAUGAUCCGACGGUCGAGGUUGUUGCUGCAUGGGCCACGUGGAUGACAUCGGCUCAAAGAUUGGGGAGAGGUCGUACAUCGACGGUGUUAUUGUGGGCAGGUCUGAUAUGGAAAGAGGCGGCAGAGAUCCAGAAGACGUCACCGUGGCCGGCGGUGGCUGUGGCAGCUCUAGAGUUGCUAAAUGUGCUUGUACAUAUGAAAGCUCAUUUUGCAAACUCACCACCUGUUUUUUUUUAGACAAAAUCCAUGCAAAUGCUUAAAAAUUAAUACCAAGAAAAUAUUAAAGAGAUGUAAUAAUCUAAAUAUUGAUACUUUCAGCAAUAAAUGAUUACAUGAGUUUCCCAAUUCUCGAGCAAAUGUUGAUUCACUUAUGCCCAAAACACACGACAUGACUAAUUGCUUGCUUGUAACAUUUAAAAUACCCUUCACUAAUAUCAGUUUAUUGGAUGCAAUUGCACAAAUAUUCGAGUAUGUAACAAGCAUACUUUAUUUGAUCAAAGCAAUUGAUAUAUUUAUAUAUUGAAAAGACGCUUAGAAAUAAGCGUACAACUACGUGUUUUUGCGAACAGAGAAAGACAUCUCUUCUCAAUCAGUGGCUUGGAUUAACUUAGAAAACAUCUUUGUAAACAUUUAUUUAUAAAAAGUAAUACAACGUAUGCUCAAUGUGCUAAUUAAAUUAAAUUCAGAGAGAGAGAGGCCUUCAACUGUUCUGUAACGCAUUAGAUCAUGUCAUACAAGUAAGUAUGCAUACACUUUAUUACUAAACUAGUUGAUGGCGGACUAAUAUAUCCCAAUCAAUUGUAACUUUAACAUACUUUUUUAUUUUAAUCUAAAUUAAUUUAUUAGUUUCAAGUAUUAAAUUUAAUAUCUAAUCUAUAUAAUGUAAUUUUUUUUAUUACAACACAACUUAAUAAUGGCUUGGUAAUUAACUUGCAAAAUCUUUUAUCUAUUUUAUUAUCAAACCACAAAUGUAAAAAGCAUUAUCAUUGUAACAACAUAAUAAAGUUUUAUGAACACUUUAAAAUAACAUAAGAGAUAUAUCUACAAAAUAAACUAUAAUUACAAAUAAAGCGUAUGAAAGCAAACUCCUCUUCAUCAAAUAAUAUUAUAGAUGAUUGAACAUUUUUCCUUUUUCGAUGAUUCCUACUAACAUUAGUUUAAUUACAUUUUAUCGGAAUUUCUGUUUCAUCCGAGUUUAUAGUAGCACUUAUUAAAAAAAUAUACAAUAACUAAAAAAAUCUUUCUAUUCAACUAAAACCUAAUAAACUAAUGGUAAUAAAUUAUAUAUGUUUAGUAAAAGCUAGAUUUUUAAUUAUAACGAUAAGAUAUUAUAUUCUUUGGAGUCAUAGUUUUUUAUUGGUAAUCUGAUAUUAACGAAACUCAUAACACUACUCUUCCGUGACAUAAACUAAAAAUAUGUCAAAUAAGCAUAAUUAAUAAAAACAUGACCAAUGAAAACACAAGACGAUUAAUUAUGCUUAUUUGACAUAUUUUUAUUUUAUGUCACAGAAGAGUAGUGUUAUGAGAUUAGUUAACAUCAAGUUAACAAUCAAAAGCUAUGAAUCCAAACAAUCUAAUAUCUUGUCGUUAUAAUUAAAAAUCCAGCUUUUACGAGACAUAUAUAAUUUAUUAUUUCUAGUUUAAAAGGUUUUAGUUAAAUAGAAGUAUUUUUAAUUAUUGUAUAUUUUAUUAACAGAUAUCACUAUAAACUCGGAUGAAGAGGAAAUUUAAAUAAAAUGAAAUUAAACUAAUGUUCGUAGGAAUCAUCGAAAAAGGAAAAAUGUUCAAUCAUCUAUAAUAUUAUUUGAUGAAGAUUAUGAUUAAGGCUAGGAAUGCAAUUAUAAAUUAAUUAUUUUUAUUUUUCUCUGUAGAUUAUCAUGCUGAUAAUCGUAAGUCCUUAUUACUAAAACAAAAAAAAAGGACCACGAAUGAGAACAAAUCGCAGCUAAAACACAAGACGAUUUUUUUCGUCAAUGCUUAAGAGAGAGUACUUUGCAUGAGCUUGGGUAAAUGGGUAGAAACGAAAGCAAAGGAAGAGAGAAAUAUCAACAAUUUUCUUUUGUUAUAAAAAAAAGAAAAGGAAACUGGUAAGAUAACUGAUGAAUGUCACGACCUACAGACAGUAUAUUGACUUAAAAUUCUUGCGAUUUCCCAUCAUACUAUAUGAUAGUAAUAAGUUAUAGUAUUAAUAGAAUAAUUGUUUAUUUAAUAGUAUUAAUGGAAAAAUUAAAUUACCUGUUGCUGAAGAGAGACGAUGUGGGAGACGCAGCCGUAGAUAGGGUCUCGGAGACGAGACUGAGCCUCGAAACAGAUUGAAACGACAGCGUCUGCCCGUUUAUGCUCGGGAAUAUGGUGGAGGAGUUUUGAAACGUUGCUCGCUCCGAACACCUUAUGAACCGCCGCGAAGUGCGCCGCUCCUUGAUCGGAGUCGAAAUAGGGUGCGAAUAUGCAGCCGGGAACGCACUUCCGUCUCAAGAACUUACAGGCGCCACACGGUCCACCUCCACCGCUGCUGCUAGGGCUUCCGCUACUGCUCAUCUUCCUGAUUAGGGUUUUGAGAGAUAUAUAUGGAGCUAAUUCAACCAGGUUAGGUUGAUUAGCAGGAAAAAUUGGGAACGUUUGGGAGAGAAAGAGAGGAGUCGGACGUAAACAAAACUAGGGCUUGGUUGGUGCUUAUUGGAAACUUUUUAUUUCCCCCAAUAAUACAUUAAUUAAUUGUAGUAUCUAAUAGUAUUUAAUAAAUAAAUAAGCAUAAUAAAUUAAUUUUUUUUUUAACACUGUAUAUAUUAUGCUAUUACAAACUCGGAAAAAUAUUACAGACGGUUUUACUGCCGACAAUUCUACCUGCUUUAUGAAGAUUCACGUCUGACUGCAUCAUCUAAGCCGUCCUAUCGGAUCCACCUUUGACGGUACUUCUUGCAUCAUGCUGCAAAUCUCUUGUAAGUUGUUUUCGCAUAAUUCUGCUUUUUCCAGGAAUCGAAACCCAGACCUGCUGGUGUAAAAGCAUUAAUGAACCCUUGGUCAAACCACUGGACAACGGGGUUUCCAAAAUAAAUUAACUUGUAGGAACCCGAAUUGAGGUGAUGUCAAAAUGACAAACUUAGAUAAAAUAAUAAGAUAAUAACUUUUUGAAAAAAAAUUAUGUAAAUAUAUGGUCCCAAUGUAAACAUAAAUUAAUAUAAACUUUUUAUAAAUAUAAAAAUAUAUUGUAUAGUUUGUAUAUGUAAAAUUUAAUUAAUAUAUAUACAGUAAAAUCAAAUAUUUUUCUUAUUUUCACAUACAAAUAUAGAAGAGAAUUUUUUUGUAAAUUAAUAAAUAAUUAAAGAUCCAACACUACUAAUUUAUAGAAUUGUUACUGUACUACUAGUAGUUAAGAAAACAAAUGCUGUCAAAAGUAUAAAUCAUUUAUACUUUUCUUUUAAAAUAUCAUUUAAUUAGUUGUAUUAUUACCAAAAAAAACUAAGACGGUUAAGACAAGAUGAAAAAAAAAAAUUUCUUUUAAGCCACGCGAUCAAUCGUACUUGUCUCGUAUUAAGCUCUUUGCGUGAAGCAAAACAUUCCAUAUCUCUUAACUUCUUCAUUGCCAUUCCCUUCCUUUUUCUUCUACUUCUGGUUUAAAUUUAUUUUUGUUACAAUCAGUCCACACAGAUGAAUCUUUACUUAUAUAGAAAUGUAUUGAUGCAGGCUCAUUCUAAUAAAAUUAGACUUUAGAUUUACAAAGUAACAGUUAUUUAAAAAUGACCUUACAACUAAUCAUAAUAUUAAUUUUUUUAAAAAAUAAUCAAUUAAAAUUGUUAUUAUCAUUGAAUAUCAUUAUUUUUGACAUAAUUUGAGUUUUCGUUUACAUCAAAACUUAUCAUAUUUUAGGAUAAUUUUAAUUUAAAAUGUAAUUUUCAUAUUUUUUAAAAAAAUUCUAAAAUAUUUUUUAAAUAUUUUGUUAUAAUUGUUAAAAAAAUAUUGAGUUGUAUUUCAAAUAAAAAGGUAAAGAUAUUAAAAAUAUUCUAAUUAAAAUAUGUAAAAUUUAAUAUAGUUUUAAGGAAAUGGUCAAAAUAAAAAAAAUUACACAUAAAAUAAUCAUGAUUUUUGUUAACUGGGCGGAUCAUUAUUUAUAUGAUAUCGCACACGAAAGAAAAUUUUUUAUUUUUAAAAUUAUCUAAUUAACUCUAUACUCAUUUUUUUUUUUAUAUGAUAUCACACAUUCGUAAAAAAUAAAUAGUUUAAGAUGCAAAAAACAAAUAUUUACUUAAUGAAUAUAAUAUGAACAAAUAUUACAAUUACAUCAUUUAAUAAAAUAAAUAAUUAAAAACUGAAAAUUCAUAUCCGCGCUCAGGGUCUAGUUAACAUUAUAGCCAAAAAUUAAAAUGUGAAUUCUUCGACCAAGUAUUAUAAAUACAUAUAACAAAGAGGAGCAUAUGGCUAAUUAUAGAUCUCAUAAGGUCCAAAACUGAACCAACAUAUAUAUAUAUAUAAAAUAUAAGCAUCAUUCUCUUUUUAUCACUGUUGGGGCAGAACCACCGGUCUCCGGCGGC
rnacentral:lncRNA from 1 species